GAUGAACGCUGGCGGCGUGCUUAACACAUGCAAGUCGAACGGAAAGGCCUCUGCUUGCAGGGGUACUCGAGUGGCGAACGGGUGAGUAACACGUGGGUGAUCUGCCCUGCACUUCGGGAUAAGCCUGGGAAACUGGGUCUAAUACCGGAUAGGACAAUGGUUUGGAUGCUGUUGUGGAAAGUUUUUCGGUGUGGGAUGAGCUCGCGGCCUAUCAGCUUGUUGGUGGGGUAAUGGCCUACCAAGGCGUCGACGGGUAGCCGGCCUGAGAGGGUGUACGGCCACAGUGGGACUGAGAUACGGCCCAGACUCCUACGGGAGGCAGCAAUGGGGAAUAUGGCACAAUGGGCGCAAGCCUGAUGCAGCGACGCCGCGUGGGGGAUGACGGCCUUCGGGUUGUAAACUCCUUUCGCUAGGGACGAAGCGUUUUUGUGACGGUACCUGGAGAAGAAGCACCGGCUAACUACGUG
rnacentral:rRNA from 1 species